rfam:Myotis brandtii contig275214, whole genome shotgun sequence.
CUCGGGAGGGGGGAAGAUCCCUCAGCUCAGAUUGCGAGAGGGUGCAGGCCAGACUGAGGGACCCCACCAGUGCACG